AAGUGAGUAAGUCUCUAACCAAACAACAUGCAUUGCACAGAGACUCUAUUAGCAGAAGCACAUCCUCAACUGACCUCACAAGUUUGAAAACUCAGUCUUUCUGUUGUGGUAGAUUGGGGAAACAGUAUUUACAGCUUUCAAAAAAGUUGCACAGCACACUGACUGGACAACAAAAAUAUAUUGCGCUUAAAAAGAUUUUAUUUCUCCCUAAAAAAAAAAAAGAGAAAACAAGAGCAGCUCCACACAGACCAUAAAUCACACCCAAUUCAAAAAUAUGGGUCUGAGUUAAGGUGACUUUUCCCCUCAGAGAAAUUGACCCACUCUCUGAAAAAGCGAGAAAUAAAAUAAACACACUUUUGGACUUGAGAAAGGUUGGCGAAGUGGUGCAGGCUGUUUACACUGGACCAUGUUUACAUAUAAACUUUAGAUGUGGAGUUGAAAGAGAAUAGGGCUACAGAGGAGAGGAAGUCUCAGCAGAGCCUCGGAAAGGAUCACAGACGAGGGGGGAGGAAGGGGUGCAGAGUGAAGGGAGGAGAGAGAAAGUGGCAGAGAAAAUGAGACGGAGUGUGAACGAGAGAGACGCAGAGGAGGGGAGGGCAUGAGAGAGAAAGUUUGUAGAAAAGAGGCAGAUAGGAAAAAAAAAAAAAAGUGAGAAAUCUGAUAUGGCUGAGAGUUUCUGCUGCCUCGCUCUGCAGAUGGAGGUGAAUGUAAAACAGAGUCUAGUGUUGGUAUCUGGGGGUAUCAACAGUCUGGAGUGGGACUCAGCUGUGAGGAAAGUUAAUGCCUGUCUGUCUGUCUGUCUGCUCAGCUUUUCCCCUGCUCUAACAUGCUGUACUUUCCAAAAUGCUCUUGCUGCAUUCUAACACUACAUCUUUUAUCACCAGGCCGGCGUCGGGCACACUGGGUAGAUUCAGAGUGGAGCUGUAUACGUACGCAGGGCUGCUGAUGCUUUUGCUUUAGCACAUUUAUAUACCCUGUUGGUUUUCAGCUGCCUUCUGUGGGGUUCGCAAACAAUUUUGGAUUUGUGAGCUUGGGUAAAAAUAUUAUACACAACGCAUAUCUUCAAUUUAAUGAACCAACAGGAAGGGGGUAAGAAAAAACGUUUUAAAGCUCAGGUUCUCAUCUGACUCUGUGAAGGAAGAAGUGCUGCUCCUAAUAGAUUAGAAACCUAAUCUCAGAACCUUUUCUGCUUUGACACAAAAUCCUCUCCUUUUUAAUUAUUGCAUUCAGAAAGACUGAGAAUUUCAGAAAUACAGAAAAUAUACACAAUUAUCUGAUCAUUAAUCAAACUAUCGGAACACCAGGUGUAGCAGCCAAGUUUAAGCACUUGGAGCUCCCCCUACUGGCCAGAUUGAAAUGUUUUGCAAGUUUAGGAACUUCAAUUGAUACCUUUCUUCCUGCUGUGCCAGAAGCAUAUUUAUAUCACUUAUUAUUUGCACAGAAUGAGACACAAUUUACAAAAUUUCACAUAAUUCAUGUUCACUUCCUGAACAUUUGUUCAAAACAGAAAUAUUUUGUUGCAGUCAACAGAAGACAGGAAAGUCACGUACAAUCUGGGUUUCUGAUCAAAUAAGUGAUUUCUCUUUGUCACCAGCAAUAACUUAACGUGAUAAAAAUAAAACAAGACUUGCAAACAUAUUUUUGCUUUGCUUGCACCUUCGUUAUCCUUCAGUAUCAAGUAAUUACAUGUCACCAACGGUGGUAAACAUAGCCGCCUCAUGCAGCUUUCUGUUUGUCACCUGAUAUUUCCGCAUCUUUUUGUUCAUCUUGAGUUUCACAGGACACAUUGCCUUCAGUAAAAAUAGCACUGAAUGCCAAGUCGAAACACAAUUAUGAAGAAAAUUUUGCACUGCCAGAAUGAAUCAAAGUCUCACAGUAGCUCCGUACAGUGGGGGAUGCAGUUACUUGAUCUCCUGCUGAUUUUGUAAGUUUGCUCACUUAGAAAUAAAUGAAGACUCAAUUUUUUUAUUGUCUGUUUAUCCAAAACCAUGAAAAAACGUUUUUUUUUAUGUAACUAAGAUUAAUUAGUAUUAUAUCUGUUACUGCCCAGCCACAAUUCUGGCUCUCAUGUUCGUCAUGUGCCCUUGUAGCACACAAAUUACAAUCAAUCAAUGUAUGUAUUUAUUAUAGAUAGCCUUGACCUUACCCUAAUGAUGUUACUAAAGAACAUCUACCCAAAGAAUCGGUUUCUUCCAUUCUAACAUUCCCACAAGAGAUGCAUCAAGAAGCAGGCUGGUGACUGGAAUAGGCAGCAUGUCAGUUUGAUUGGCCCUGAGUGGUGACAGCAGAGUCAGAAUGAAAAACAAAUCUGAUCAGUGAGCAGACCCUGCCUUUAGCACUACUAGGUCAUGGGUAACAAUAACACUCUUCAAUGUGGAAGCUGAUAAUGGGAAGGAAGACUUCAAAUUAUCUAUAUUUAGUGUCAGUGAGAGAUCAGAUGAGAAAGUCAAGACCUCGAGAACAGGGUAGAGCGCCCUCUAAGGGUCGGGAGACGUUUAAAGUGUAACUAAUCCCCAAACUGAAAAACUGCCUAAAUUGGUUACUUUGGUACCAUCUUUAUGUUUCUGAGCAAAUUUUUACAGUUUGGUGUAAAUUUGUUUAGUUUUGCAUAAAACCGUCUCAGUGCUGGCCUCUUUGGGCUGAACGGGGCCUAACCAGGUGAAUUCUCCUAGAUGUUUGAAAUGGGAUGACUUUACGUCACUCAGCCCGAUUCAGGAAUAAAACCGUCUGAGUCAGACACACAGUCCCACCUGGUGGCGAGUCAGUAAUUAUCACUAACACUUGGCUGCCGCUGAUGCUGCCAAAGGUAACUAAACCAGUUAUUAGGUUGAGGGGAUAAUCACUUUUCACCCAGGGCCACGUAGGUUUCCAAUUUCCUUCUCCUUUAAUAAUAAACACCUUCAUUUAAAAAUACUUGUGUUGUCUUUUACUAAUAGUUAAAUUGCUUUAAUGUUCUGAAACAUUUAAAUGUUUCAGCACACUUAAAUACACCAAUAGUUUCACAAGCUUAGU